GGAGAUCCCUCCUCUGGAGUUUUGCAGUGAGCCCAGGAUGUGGGAGUCUUCCUUGGAAUUAUUUGGUAUUCUUGCGAAGGAAAUAAGUCUUACAGACUUCUAGCAUGGAAGAAAUUUUCUUUAUUCUAAACAACAGGACAAAAUCUAGAGGAAUGAGAAGUAAUAUGAAGUGUGGAGACAGAAGACAGUUUGAAGAAGAAUAUUAAAACAGGCAGUUUUUGUUAAAGAUCAAUAAUUAUUCAUUUUAUAUAUAGCUUCAGGACUACCAUAGAUAUAAACUAUGACAUGUAUCAAGGCCAACAUUUAAUGCAAUAUUAAAAAUGCAUUUUUAUAUUGUGGUCUCCUCUUUAAACUGUGAGAUCCAAAAAGACGAUCAACUCACCUCCAGUUCUACUGCACAGUACAAUGAAAAUGAGACAGCAAGCAAUGCCCAGUUUCCAUAUACCAUGAUGUAGUUAAAAUUAGAAAUUUCAUGAUGCAGUUCCCACAGACAACUCAGAAAAGUGCGCAGACAAAAGACAGAUAUAAUCAGCUAUUUGUAUUUUUUUUUCUUUUCUGCUGGUACUUUUAUUUCAUUUAAAGAAAGAAAAUCAGUAUACAUGAAAUGAUGAAGGAUAUAUGUCUGACAAAUUCUAGUACAUAGGCAAAUCUUCUGCACACAGUGAGAAUAUAACAUCUGGGUUGUAUUCAAUUUACAGAUGGAAAAGAAUCUCAGUGGAAAACUUGCUGUAGCAUAGUUCUACUGGUUAUGUAUGAUCUGUUGUUUGGUCACUAGUGACAAUCUAGUGACAGAAUUAACCAACUGACUAUACACUUCAUGGUAUCCAAUAGACAAACAUCAUCAGGUUGGCUUGUAUUACAACCCAGUAUUAUACAAAUUACGUUCCUUUUUUUUUGUUGUGUGUGUGUGUUACAUAGCCAGUUUGCAAUAUGUUUUGCAUUAAAUUAUAUAUUACUAUACAACCAGGAGAUUCAGAUUUUUGAAACAUCCUACAGAUAAAUUUCCCAUGUUCUACUAAGCAUCAGAAUCAUGGCCAGGACCAAUAAAUUUGGCUACCUACAUAAAAAUAUCGGUAAAUGGAGAUAAAUAUAUACAAGUUCAGAAGUUUGAUUAUGAUUUAACCUAUCAGGCAACUAAGCACCCCUCAGUUGUUCACUCGCAUAUGGAAAAUGAGGAGAUCAAAAAUAAUUAGCUAUCUAGAAUCUAGAGCAUGGAGAAUAUGGAUGCUUUGUUCAUGCUGUUUGUGAGAACAACAGAAUUGUAGGCUACUCUAAAAGACAUACUUUAAAACUACUAUCUCAAGCUGAAAAGCUGCUUUGGUUUUACAUCCCUAGGGAGUUUUAAACAAUGGUUCUUCACCAUUCUAUCAGCAGAUACACUAAAUGCUCACUGAAAAUAUACUACUGCUCCUUUGUUGAUAUAAUACUUGUUCAUUUUAUAAACUACAAACCAAAGUACUCUCAACAAAAACAAACCUUCUAUGGGAUAAUUCUGACUCCAGAAUAGGGCAUAUAAUAUUUCUCUAUGAGUCCCUUUACAUUCAAAGUAAUCUAGUCAAUACAGUUGAACUAUUGCACUAAUUAGCCAGAAUUAUUUUGCUAGUCACUUGAGAGAGCAAGAUUCAAUUGCUAAAUUGCCUAAAACUUAGCACUGGCUGGUGAAACCUGGAGUAUGUAAGAAACACCUGGGGCACAGUUCUUAUGGAUUGUCAGUUGGUGAUAGGACAGCCUAGGACAUUUUAGAUGUCAUCAAAUACCAGAAAGUCAAUGACAGAUUCAGGAAUUGUAGGAUGAACUAAAUUGUUUCCCAAGUUCCAUUAAGUGUUCUGAAGAGAUGUACGUUGAUUAUAAUGGCAUUUGGAUGUCUAUUUCACACAGAGAUUUCAUUCAGAUGGAAAAAUGUGGAUGCUUUAAUAUUCUUGAGUUUUAUCCAAAUAGAAUACAAUUCAGCUGUCUAAAAGCACACAUGCAGCACCAUUUCAUUAUUCUGUCUAACUUCCAGUUACCACUUCAGAAGAUAAUUUCUCUGAUAGGACCUGUGCCACAUCUGUCAUUGUCUCAUGGUUCUCAAACAGCUUUAAAUAUUUAAAAGGAUGCUAGAUAUUUAGGAACAAGAUGCUCACACAUCCCUUCAUCUUUAACCUCUUAUAUAAGAGAAGAGAAAGCAAAUUCAAGGAAAACACUCAUAUGUUAGUCUAGAACAAAUUCUGGUGAUAAAUACAUACAUAAGAAAAGUAAAAUAUUAUCAAAUGGUAAAUGUUUGAGCAACGUUUGGUUUGAAUCAUGGAAUCAAAAUGGUUUGGAUUUUAAAGAAACAUGAAGAUCACCUAGUUCCAACUCCCCUGCCAUGAGCAGGGACACCUUCCACUAGACCAUGUUGCUCAAUAUCUCACUCAUCCUGACCUUGAACACUUCCAGAGGUGAGGCAUCUAUAGCUUCUCUGUGCAACUUGUUUCGGUGUCUCACCACCGUCAUAGGAAAGAAUUUCUUCCUAACAUCUAGAGAUACUAAUAGUUCCAGAAAGUUCUUGUUUGAAGGAUUUGUAAUGUGCCUGAUGUUUCUUGCUCUCACGUGAUAGGAAAUGUUAUGCUGUGAUAUGAAUAUUUAAUUAGUUUAUGUAAUUUUUUCAGUUCUACAUAAUAAGUAAAUCUGAUAUUAAUACUUCCCUCUUUUGAACCUUUGUAAGUGUUGCUAGUAACAAUCACUUUAUAAAUUUGAUAGUAAGUUAAGAAAAAAUGGGUACAUAAUUUUUUUGAGAAUUUUGUGUUUAAUAUUUUUACAAACUGUUAUGAUUACAAUGAAUAGUGACUUAUUGCACUAGUACAAGACAGUGUUAUAAGCUCUUAAAAGUACAAUCACUAUUGUCAGGAGAUAAAUUAUGCAUGCUCAGUGAUACUCUACAUCUGUUGAUUUGCCAAAUAGCUAAUUAAAAUGCUU